UGAGGCUGAGGUUGAAGAGGUUAUGGCCUAUGUUCUUCUCUGGGAUUUUAAUGGUUUCAUGUCUCACAUUCAGGUCUUUCAUCCAUUUUGAAUUUAUUUUUAUGUAUGGUGUAAGA